CCUCGGUGACUCAACACCCGAACGUCAAACACUGACACUGCUCACGCUGCAGAAACAUCAGAUUGCUGCAUCUAUUUCACACUGUUGAUGGGGAAACAGAGAAUUCAAGUCUCAUUUAAAUCAUCUUCUGCCUUAGAAGAAAAGGAGCAGAAAGAGGGUCUGAUGUAUCAAAGAAGACACAGGACUUGCUCACAUUCAAUGGAAAACUUGCAAAGCCUGGGAAGAGGACUAGACCUGUGCUUUCAAGCUGCCAGGAAGGGAAUUAACCCAAUGGCAGCAGUUGUGGUCUCAGCAGAUGACACUGAAGAUCACCAGUUUUCCGACUCCACGUAAUCACCAGACAGCCACGAGAUGGAAAAGGCUAAAUCUUCACUCUUUUGUGAGAGAACUGAGAUUUUCAAGGGAAAAACUGGACUGACUUCUCUGCGUGGGACUUAGAUAUCCUGGAACUGGAAAGAUAAAGGAGUUGGCAAGAACUUGCUUUAUCCACCAUGCUGCUCUCUGACUGCUGCUGGCCCCACAGAGAUGGCUUCAUUCCAUCAGUAUUUAUUGCAUAUAAUUUGCAAACAGCUCGUUGAGAUGCUCUGAAAGAUGCAAUAAAAA